GCCUCUAUAGCUCACUGGCAGAACGUCUGUCUUGUAAAUAGAAGGUCUGCAGUUCAAUCCUGCACGGAGCUA
rnacentral:tRNA from 1 species